rnacentral:rRNA from 1 species
GAGUUUGAUCCUGGCUCAGGACGAACGCUGGCGGCGCGCCUAACACAUGCAAGUCGAACGGAGUUAUUCCGAAUGAAGUUUUCGGAUGGAUUUUGGAAUAACUUAGUGGCGAACGGGUGAGUAACGCGUGAGUAACCUGCCCCGAAGUGGGGGACAACAGUUGGAAACGACUGCUAAUACCGCAUAAGCCCACGGCACCGCAUGGUGCUGAGGGAAAAGGACUUCGGUUUGCUUCGGGAUGGACUCGCGUCCAAUUAGCUAGUUGGUGAGGUAACGGCCCACCAAGGCGACGAUUGGUAGCCGGACUGAGAGGUUGAACGGCCACAUUGGGACUGAGACACGGCCCAGACUCCUACGGGAGGCAGCAGGUGGGGGAUAGUUGCACAAGUACGGGGAAACCCUGAUGCAGCGACGCCGCGUGGAGGAAGUAAGG